CCUACGGGUGGCAGCAGUGGGGAAUAUUGGGCAAUGGGCGCAAGCCUGACCCAGCAACGCCGCGUGAAGGAAGAAGGCUUUCGGGUUGUAAACUUCUUUUCUCAGGGACGAAGCAAGUGACGGUACCUGAGGAAUAAGCCACGGCUAACUACGUGCCAGCAGCCGCGGUAAUACGUAGGUGGCAAGCGUUAUCCGGAUUUACUGGGUGUAAAGGGCGUGUAGGCGGGGACGAAAGUCAGAUGUGAAAUCCACGGGAUCAACCGCGGGACUGCAUUUGAAACUGUGUUUCUUGAGUGUUGGAGAGGCAAGGUGAAUUCCGAGGGUAGCGGGGAAAUGCGUAGAUAUCAGGAGGAACACCAGUGGCGAAGGCGGUUUUCUGG
rnacentral:rRNA from 1 species